rnacentral:rRNA from 1 species
GAUGAACGCUAGCGGCAGGCCUAAUACAUGCAAGUCGGACGGGAUUGAGGAGCUUGCUCUUCAUGAGAGUGGCGCACGGGUGCGUAACACGUAUGUAACCUACCUUGUUCAGGGGGAUAGCCUCUCGAAAGAGAGAUUAAGACCGCAUAACAUUGCGAUGUGGCAUCACAUUGUAAUCAAAUAUUUAUAGGAACAAGAUGGGCAUGCGGAACAUUAGCUAGUUGGUAAGGUAACGGCUUACCAAGGCUACGGUGUUUAGGGGAUCUGAGAGGAUGACCCCCCACACUGGUACUGAGACACGGACCAGACUCCUACGGGAGGCAGCAGUAAGGAAUAUUGGUCAAUGGACGGAAGUUUGAACCAGCCAUGCCGCGUGCAGGAAGACGGCCCUAUGGGUUGUAAACUGCUUUUGCAGGGGAAUAAACCUCAUUACGUGUAAUGAGCUGAAUGUACUCUGAGAAUAAGGAUCGGCUAACUCCGUGCCAGCCGCCGCGGUAAGAC